rnacentral:rRNA from 1 species
AGAGUUUGAUCAUGGCUCAGAUUGAACGCUGGCGGCAUGCCUUACACAUGCAAGUCGAACGGCAGCGCGGGCUUCGGCCUGGCGGCGAGUGGCGAACGGGUGAGUAAUACAUCGGAACGUGCCCUGUUGUGGGGGAUAACUAGUCGAAAGAUUAGCUAAUACCGCAUACGACCUGAGGGUGAAAGCGGGGGACCGCAAGGCCUCGCGCAAUAGGAGCGGCCGAUGUCUGAUUAGCUAGUUGGUGGGGUAAAGGCCUACCAAGGCGACGAUCAGUAGCUGGUCUGAGAGGACGAUCGGCCACACUGGGACUGAGACACGGCCCAGACUCCUACGGGAGGCAGCAGUGGGGAAUUUUGGACAAUGGGGGCAACCCUGAUCCAGCAAUGCCGCGUGUGUGAAGAAGGCCUUCGGGUUGUAAAGCACUUUUGUCCGGAAAGAAAUCGCGCUGGCUAAUACCUGGCGUGGAUGACGGUACCGGAAGAAUAAGCACCGGCUAACUACGUGCCAGCAGCCGCGGUAAUACGUAGGGUGCGAGCGUUAAUCGGAAUUACUGGGCGUAAAGCGUGCGCAGGCGGUUUUGUAAGACAGGCGUGAAAUCCCCGAGCUCAACUUGGGAAUGGCGCUUGUGACUGCAAGGCUAGAGUAUGUCAGAGGGGGGUAGAAUUCCA